UACGGGGGGGGCAAGCGUUGUUCGGAAUUACUGGGCGUAAAGGGCGCGUAGGCGGGAUGGCAAGUCAGUCGUGAAAUCUCUCGGCUCAACCGAGAAACGUCGGCUGAUACUGCCGUUCUUGAGGGAUGCAGAGGAGACUGGAAUUCCCGGUGUAGCGGUGAAAUGUGUAGAGAUCGGGAGGAACACCGGUGGCGAAGGCGGGUCUCUGGGCAUUUCCUGACGCUGAGGCGCGAAAGCGUGGGGAGCAAACGGG
rnacentral:rRNA from 1 species